AUGACACCAAUGACACAGGGUUGCAUUGUUGUAAGAGGUAAUUCUUGCAAGGGUUCAUCUGUUGUUGUAGAUAUGGCUGAAUCAACGGUUGUUGUUGCUGGGGGAAUGAUUGUUGCGGUUGUUGGGGCUGGGGAAAAGGUUGUUGUGGUUGCUGUGACUGGGGAAAUGGUUGUUGGGGUUGUUGAGGCUGGGGGAAUGGUUGUUGUGGUUGUUGGGGAAAUGGUAGUUGGGCUUGUUGGGGCUGGGGAAAUGGUUGUUGUGGUUGCUGUGACUGGGGAAAUGGUUGUUGGGGUUGUUGAGGCUGGGGGAAUGGUUGUUGUGGUUGUUGGGGAAAUGGUAGUUGGGCUUGUUGGGGCUGGGGAAAUGGUUGUUGUGGUUGCUGGGGCUGCGGAAAUUGUUGUUGUGGUUGCUGGGGCUGGGGAAAUUGUUGUUGUGGUUGAUGGGGGAAUGUUUGUUGGGGUUGGGGAACCAUUUGCACUUCGUUUGAUGCCCCAAUGA
rnacentral:rRNA from 1 species